CAGCGCCGCUCUUCUUCUUCCACUCAACUCUCUUGUGGUUUCUCAAGAAUACCCACACAAGAACGCACACACGCACUCAACUCUCAACACACAAGAACACACACACGCAUGGACCAAGGAGGAGCACCGAUGCUUUGCCGAGAGGCUCUCUCCCUGGUAACACAUUGACUACAUCUUUUCCACAGCCCUCACUCGGCUUGUCUUUUCAUUAACUCAAUGCAACACAUAUUUAUACACAAGUCUCGGCAACCAUGCCAUCUAAUCCGACGCCACCACUUUUGACCCACUAACAGCACGUACGCACGGCCGAGCUAACUAACCCUGAAAUCACUCCGCGCUUCUUCGGCCAGCUAACAACUUAGCCAUGCAGACACACAUGCAGCACUACCCUAACCAACAAUACAUGCACCUAACUAACACUAGUGGCUUUGCAUGCAUACACGUGUUCACGUCUCUACAUAUGUACACAGCCGCAACUUAUAGUGUCACGUCUCAAC
rnacentral:lncRNA from 1 species